UUUUUUUUUUUGUCGCACUGCAUUCUGUUUGUGUCCUGCAUGGUUAAGCGCCCCAGUAAUGGCCCCAAAGGACUCUGGGAAGAGACGUAGGAAUAUGCAGGACGCUCAUCCUCACCGGUCAGGAACCGGGGACGGAGCUUUCUAUCCGACAUCGUGGAAUGGGAUUAUACGUCUUGGCUCAGAGCUACGCUCCCAAACGCCACCAGGACAGAGCCAGAGAGCAACUCUGGGUGUCCACGUCGGAUCAGAAGGCAGAGUCACAUUUUGGGACAGGAAG